rnacentral:misc_RNA from 1 species
AAGUCGUAACAAGGUCUCCGUUGGUGAACCAGCGGAGGGAUCAUUACAGAGUUGCAAAACUCCCACAAACCAUCGCGAAUCUUACCCGUACGGUUGCCUCGGCGCUGGCGGUCCGGAAGGCCCUCGGGCCCCCGGACCCUCGGGUCUCCCGCUCGCGGGAGGCUGCCCGCCGGAGUGCCGAAACCAAACUCUUGAUAUUUUUAUGUCUCUCUGAGUAAACUUUUAAAUAAGUCAAAACUUUCAACAACGGAUCUCUUGGUUCUG